UUUUGUAAGUCUGAUGGGACAUCAUUUGUGCCAGGGACUUGGGGCCUUAGCUCACACUACAUCCUCCCUUCCGCUGCCUGCCUGGCUCCCUGGGUUCUCCCAGCCUACUCCCCCAUGCUGCCCAGGGACAGCUGCUGCCCUUGGCUCUGAUCCCUAUGCUCAAGGGAGUGCCAAGAAGCAAAUCAGAAACCACCCUGACAAAUGGAAAGACGGACUAGGGAAGAAAGGAAGAAAGGAAACAUUUUUCUCCCCUUUGUGUACAAGGGGCCCUGCAUUUUCAUUUUGCACUUGGCUUUACCAGUUGCGUAGCUGGUCCUGGCUGUCAACAGUAGCAUCACCUGGGAGAAUCUCAGACCCCACCCCAGACCUGCUGACUCAGAAUCUGCAUUUUUACAAGACCCCCGGAUGAUUCCUGUCCAUUCAAGUCUGAGAGGCUCGGCCAUCAUUGGAUGGCCUCCAAAUGUGCCGAUCAUCUGAACGUCUGAAAAAAGCAUCCCAGGUGAUUCUGAGGCUCAGCCAGCAAUGGGGUCAUUGCCUCGUGUGCAUAUUUCCCAGCCUUACCUGAUGAUCAGAAUCACCUGGGGCAAGUUUUUAAAAGCAGAAGCGCCCAGGCUCCAUUCUCUAUUUAUGACAAUCUCCAAAGGAGGGCCUUUGGGAAUAUAUAUUUUUAACGAGCACUCUGGCUGACCCUUCCUACCCGUGACCGGUUUAGAGGUGUGUGUACGCGAACCGAGCUGGGACAGCGGGAUACGACUCUGGAACUUUCAUCCCGAUGUUGAAAAGAAAGGAGACCCAUCUUCCUACUGAACCUGAAGUGGAUGGGCCUUCUGUAACCCAAGACCUGCUGGGAGCACCAAGUGGACGGAGCGUGGCCAAGAGGGCAGCCAGUAUUGCCGAAGGCUGAUCGAGAGGCGGACGGAGUCUUCACCCUGUUUGAGAUUCUCCGUCCAUCCCUGCCUGAAGCCUGUGAACCCAACCAUGAGACAAGCCUGGACUGAGCUGCCCGAGGAUGAAAAUCCACACAGAGGAGAGCGGAGCCAUUUCUCCAGAGGCUGUCCUAGACCCGCCAGCCCCCAAGCAAUCUGCUAGCUUCCCAAGAGGAAUAAGUGAGCUCAGGUGUCAUUAGGUGGGCCUGGCCCAUCCAGAAGAUACACUAAGCCAACCUACAGACUUAUGUGCCGGGGGGGUGAAACUUUGAAGGCGGAGGAGCGCGGCCGUAGCUUCUCUCCCACGGAGUGUGGUUAUUCCCGGAGGAGAAGUCCCAUCAGCCGGUCGCCGGAGCUCUGGAGUUCCUUAGCCAUUACUUACAUAAGAUGAAAAUGGAAGCGCCCAUCUUUCUCGCGUAAGGAGGUUGCUGCUGGACUGAAUGAGAUCAAGAACGUGGGAAUGUUUACUGAGCCGUCGGUGCUGCUCAGAUAACAAGGGGCUACCACGCAGAGAAAACUCAUCAAAAAAUGAAGCCAAACACAAUGGAAAUGAGAUCUUAGAGACCUAUAGCGAUGAAACCUGUGGGACGGCCUUUGGCUCCUGGAUCCAGCUAUUUUUGAAGCUACAUUUACUCUUCUAUGCCCAGGACGAUCCAAAUGGAAGAAAUUUUAACAUCAACAAAACCACAUGAUGCUGAAUACUUCAUCCGCAUUGGCCUCAGUUUCCUCACCUGUAAAAUGGGCGCCAAUGACACCAGCCGUGUACCUAGUACCUCCUGUGCUGGACCCUGAAGGGACUCAGAUACGCCCCAGUGGAGAAGAAUGUUAAUAAAUGAUACCUGUGUGAACAACCUCCUGACCACUGUUGGUUUCUGAGUUCCUAUCGGUCUUGGCUAUCGUCUCUGUCAGUCUUGGAGGAUGGAAGGAAAGUUCACAAACGCUGAUAUCAACUAAUUCUAGAGAAAGAAGACGAUCCUCAUGAAGGAAGGUAGUCUGCAGACCACGCUCCAGGGAAGACUAGUACAAGAACGUGAGGAAGUGUGUCUGCAGUGACUCUGCCACGUCCAUCUGCCUUAGCAGUCCCCAUCCCCAGCAACAGCAGUGGCUGACACUCCCUGCUAAUCAGAACAAGAUCUCGCCUCAACAGGUAGCCGCGUCCAAGGGAGAAAUGUGACGUAUGUUCAACGCACCGGCUCCUGUACUCCCGGCCCGCCCACUCCGCAACGGGCCCACCUGAGAAACACACAGUGCUUCAUCGUUGUUGUGAAAUUCUACGCCCAGCCAAAUCCAAACAGUUUUCAAAACGAGAGCCCACCAACUUUUGGAGGCUGUUUCCUUAGAAGCAAGCUUGCCAAUGCCUGACUGUCUCCAGACUCUACUGUCACCGGCCUUGACAGGUUUCAGAGAGCAAAUUCCCACCAAGCAGAACGAGACGGAUUCUCUUCCGUGUUGGUUGAACAAAUCCACUCUACUGGACUAGCUGUUUCGGGAUGUAAAUGAAUGAACCGGCGUUUAUCAACGGCAGAGGAUAAAACUCAUACUUGAUAUUAGGACCCAUGAUAUCCCCGGUGACCCAGCCACACCCCACUUCUCCUACAUCCUUUCUGCUCCCCUCUCCCUGGCUGGCUCUCGAAAUCUGGACCCCUAUCGCUGUAUCCUUUGUGUUCUGGAAACACAGAAAUCUCUUCUGAUUUCAGGCCUUGGCUCCUGGUUGGCUGCCUUGUGUAUUCCAGAUUUCUGUUUCAGUGUUCCCUUCUCAGAAAGGCUCUCCAUGACUCCCACUCUAAAUUGUCCUGCCCCAACCCCUUACCCUCUGUCCCAACACCCCCACCGUAUUUUCUUCCCAUUGCUUUCCAUGAUCCAUCUGGUACUUCCUCUUGUCUGGUUCUCCCCACCAAUAUGAUGCCUUACCAGGUGUCGUGGGAAGGAAGAAAAUAACCCAAGACUGCCACCUUAAAGUUUUUACAAAAUAGUACUGGUAAGAGGGAUAUCCUGAAUGAGUUAAAUGACACAAGAGGAAAGCAAUGAAUUAUAUCCUCAAGGGCAAAAUCGUAUGGUACACUGGCUCUCAAACUUGGCCGCAUGUUGGAAUCAUCUGGGGGCUUUAAAAAUACUGAUGGCUGGAUCCCGCCCCCACAGACUGAUGUAAUGAGUCUGGGGUAAGACCUAGGCAUUGAGUUUUUUAAAUCACCCCAGUUGACUGUGAUACACAGCAAAGUUUGAGAACACUGCUUUUUUUUUUUAAUUGAAGCAUUAUGUACAUGUAUAGAAGCACAUAAAUCAUAAGCAUGCAGCUGAAUUAAUUUUUACAGAACGGACACACUCAAUAACAAUCAUCCUGGUUAAGAACAAUGAAAGCCCCCACCCCACCCCCAGUAGCCUCUUGGUGCUCACUUUCAUAGGUAAACGCUACCCUGAUAUCCAAGCAUAGAUUGGUUCUGUCUGUUUGUCUACUCAUGUAUUUGGAAUCAUACUCUAUAAUGACUCUUUGUUUUAAGAAGACAGGGAUAGAGAAGUUUGAAUCACUUGGAGCCCACCCGGGAAGCCUGCCUGAAGGAGGUGGUAUUUAAGGGGGGAUCUGAAGGAGGUAAUAGACAAGAGAGAGAAAAGGGGAAAAAGGGAGGGAAGUUGGGGAAGGGAGGACAGCAUCACUUGGCAAAGAGGCGCACAAGCUGAAAUGCUCUAUACCCAUGUCUAAUGACGGCCCUACAGUGGGCCCAGAUCUUUUUUUUUUUUUUUUUUUUUUCUGUGCAUCCUUCUUUGCAAGAAUGCUCCACUUGGUAUUCAAUCGGUCCACAAAUUUUCACUGAGCACCAAUACUGUGCUGGAGUUGAGGAUAUAGAGGUGAACAGAACUUACAUUUUAAUGAGGAAAGACAGAUAACACAUAGGCAAAUAUAUGAAGAAGAUACAGAUGGUCAUAACUGCCAUGAAAGAUAAGACAAAGAAAGGCACAGAUGGCCGGGGCAAAAGGAGAUGACCUCUGAGUUUAGAGUAAGGAGGAAAAACAGACCUGGGGGAGGGAUCUUUCUGGAAAGAGAAGACGCAAAAGCCCUGGAGCUGGGAUAGGAGGUGUUGCGUUAACUGAGGCAUUCUCCCUCCGCUCCAGAAUCCCACGGGCUGCCCCAGUGCCCACUCAUUCAGGAAGCGCCAAGCUCAAGGUAGGCACGUGGCAAGUGGUGGUUUUCGUUGCAUCGGGUUGGAGUCCAGUGAUAAGACAGGCAAACUAGCAACAAUAAAAAUCAGUAGGGUAGAAAUGUGCUUUUAAUGGGGGCGUUCACAGGGUCCGCGGGUGCAGCGAGAGGGCUCCAUAGCCGCCCUUUUGUGUGAAUCCAAGAACAGACACCCUGGUUCUUCCUUGUGUGCAAUGGCUUCUACUAACUUGAUUCACUUGUUACAAAAUUCAGCUUCUGCAAAGGGGAAGGUACCCAUGCCUGGCACCUUACCAAUAUCACCUGGGAACUUUUAAAAUUUCAGAUUUUCGGGCCCCACCCUGGGAUCUAAGUCAGUAAUUCUAGGGUGGUGCCCCCGCUUCUUUAUCUUAAGAAAAAAAUCCCCAGGUGAUUCUGACAUUGAGCCAGUGUGGGAAUCCGUGUUCUAGAAGAUACGCUUGCCUCAUUCCAAUCAGUUCAUGCCUUUACACAUCCCAGAGUCUGAGGGUUAGAUCUGAGGAUGCUACGUUCCCUGGAGACCCAAACAUAGCAUUAUUCUAAGCCACCAGCUCUUGGAAGAAGUUUCCAAAAGUGCCAGAGUCUGUGGUUUAACAAAGUAUUUUGCAAAUUCUAGUCAGGCCUAUACCACCUUUUUCACAUUUUGCAAUCUCCACACCCCCUUGAACCAUUAUUUCUUCCCUCAUUCCUUAGCUAUAUUUAUUUUUUAAACCCAUAAAUUAUAUCAAACUUCAGAUCGCUACCAUAAAUGGAGAGCAGUGUCUUUUGCUAAGAUAGAAGUAAAAACUUAGGGUGACUUCAAUAAAAACAAACCACUUUUUUAAGAGUCUAGCCAGGUAACUCUUGCCCCCCCAAACUUCUAAGCCUGAGAUCUGCGGUUUCUUGGUUGAGAAAUAAAAGUCAGCAAUUGUUAGGCAUAAAAGUUGCACCUCACACCAAACUGAGACGUUCUCAGAUUGAAAGAGAAACAAAAGGGAAUAACCUUUUCGCUGUGCGAUUCACGUUUUCCAAUGUCAUGUCUACACCACUGAACAGUAUCUGGGUACCAUUGUGUUAUGCAUCCACCUGGGGUAGACAAAAUCUUCCUUGCUGAUAACUAAGCUAAAUACUCUACAACAGUAGCAGUAGGGCGAAAAAUACAAAUUAAAGUAAGAACGUAAGUAAGAAUGUAAGAGACGAACCCUGGAGAGAGGCGGGGAGAGAUUCUGUAGCCCAAAGUCAGUUACUCUGACCCAUUUCCCUCCUCAUCCUCUCCAAGGGUGGGUCCAACGCCAAGUCUUUGGGAGGUCAUUUUAACAGAAGCCUUUUGAAGGCAGGGAUCCUAUCUUAAACAUUCCAGCCUCUCCUGUACCUGGUGCAAUGCCAGGCACCUAACACGGUAGACGCUGGUUAAAUGAUUGCACAUAGUACCAACACCCAGUCAGCAGGCAUAGGGCUCCUCCAGGGAGGAUUCACGGUGAGCUCGCUGAAGCCGCGGUCUUUUCUUCUGCUCAGGCCUCAGGUCUGUAUGUCCUGAUCCUGUAACUGUGGUCCCUGGCCAGCCGGACUGGGGGUUUUACUCAGUAAGCUGUGGCCCCUGGCACUCCUUAAAGGUGUGAGAGGGAAUUAGAAUGAAUUAGCAUUAAUACCCUUUUGCUGACAUUGUCAACUAGGCAGUAGGACUUUCUGUGCCUCAGUUGCCUAAGGGCUAGGCUGGGAUUGGGUGACAGUUGGUCAUGGGCGGAGGCCAGUUGGGUGAUUUAGGGCAGGUGAGUUACCUUGUGUCACCUACAUGAAAGGGAUAAAUGAGCAUGUGCCUCCCCCCAAGUGUGGAUGUUAAGAAUGAUUCGACAACAAAAAAGAUUAAUCAGCCCUUUACAAACAGUGACAAUGGCAUGUGACUAGUAGGAUGGGGAAAGUUAUGUUUCCUACAGCCCCUAAAAGAACAUUCAGAAAAAUAUCUGUGGAACAGGUCACCCUAGGUCAUUCCCCACAAGAGAGGGCAAAGUAGGUAGAUAGGUUUAAGUGCUGGGCAUCCCUAUUAUACUUGAUCGAGAUGGGUACAUGGUUGGGGGGUGGGUAGUGAGGAGUAGACCCAGGUGAAACCUCAUCACAGUGACCACGGUAACAGUGCCGCGCCUUGAAAUCCUAAGUUAUAAAAUACCUAAGCCUGAGCUUGCUUUA